rnacentral:rRNA from 1 species
UCUUUUUUUAUCGCGUCACGCGACGACGGGGUAAAAUAAUGGGAGAAGGCGUAUUUUAUUUUUAUUGUUUUUGACGGUCGGUGGUAGUUUUAUGCCGUGGUAAACCGGGGUUUCGCGUUGGGUGAACUCCGAGGGGUUGAAUCACGGAGAAUGGAGCAGGAGAGGAAGGCAUAAGGAGAAACGGGGUACAGAACAUGUCGGAUGCGAUCAUACCAGCACUAAAGCACCGGAUCCCAUCAGAACUCCGAAGUUAAGCGUGCUUGGCGAGAGUAGUACUAGGAUAGGUGACCUCCUGGGAAGUCCUCGUGUUGCAUCCC